rnacentral:rRNA from 1 species
GACGAACGCUGGCGGCGUGCUUAAUACAUGCAAGUUAACUGAACUUAAGAUAGCAAUAUUUUAAGGGAGGUGGCGCACGGGUGAGUAACACGUAGGUAAUCUGCCUUUAGGUCUGACACAACCCCGAGAAAUCGGGGCUAAUAUCAGAUGAUGCAGCGGCUCGACAUCGAGACAGUUGUUAAACCUUCGGGGCCGUAAAGAUGAGCCUGCGUCUGAUUAGGUAGUUGGCGGAGUAAAAGCCCACCAAGCCUGCGAUCAGUAGCUGGUCUGAGAGGAUGAUCAGCCACACUGGAACUGAGACACGGUCCAGACUCCUACGGGAGGCAGCAGUAAGGAAUAUUGCUCAAUGGCCGAAAGGCUGAAGCAGCAACGCCGCGUGGAGGAUGAAAUACUUUUGUAUGUAAACUCCUGUAAGAAGGGAAAAUAUUCCGAUUAUUCGGGAUUGAUUGUACCUUCAGAGUAAGCCCCGGCUAACUACGUGCCAGCAGCC